rnacentral:tRNA from 1 species
GCAUUGGUGGUUCAGUGGUAGAAUUCUUGCCUUCCAUGUGGGUGACUGGGGUUUGAGUCCCUGCCAAUGCA